CUGGGCAGUGGAAUUUUAGGCUGUAAAUUAUGGUGCUAAGCCAGGAGAAAAGGAGUUCAAGAUUUGAGUGCGUGAGUGUGGGGCUGGCUGGUGUGCCCACACUGAAGAGAAAUGUUUUUCAGAUGACCUGGGAUUCUAUUCUCAUUGAUAUUCUCCAAGAGGAAACACAACAAAACAGUCAUCAUUAUAACUACCCCACGAUAUUCUGCAAAACACAUUCCUUCCCACCAUUUCUUUUGAAGCUCUCACAACUGCCCUUUCAGAAGAAUCAUCUGUCAAGUGAGGAGAAUAAUCUCCCUCCUGCUGGAAGACACCAUCAACCUCCUUGAGAUCAGCCUUGUUCCUUCUGUAAACAAGUUUGCCAGGUCCUCUUCUUCAAGCUGAUUUAACCAGGAAGCUGGAAAAAAGCAGGAUGACAGGAAGGCUGGAAGCUGGAGAGGCCAGAAGAGAAGGAAAAGUGGUAGAGGAUUUGAAAUUAAAGCUGGAAGUUAGAGAUCACUGCCCUGUCCCAGCUUCCAACAGACCAGGAUGAACCUCUCUAGCCAAACCUCAACUGAGACAUAUUUAUUGCUGAUUUUUUUCUCCUACAGUGUUUGGUUUAGGGCUGGGCACAUAGUAGGUGCUUAUAAACGCCUAUUGAUGGAUUGCUCCAGGAAUUCAUACAACUUUGACUGUGUGGGAUUAGUUGAACUGAUCAUUGCUCAUUCUACAAACAUUCAUUGGCACACCAAAUUCUGGGCAUUUCAAAAUGCCUAAGAUGGUCCUGCCUCAGAGGGGUGCACAGUAAGGAAGCAAGUCCCCACUGGUUGGCAAAGGCUCUGAUGGGAACAGCACAUAGCUGUGGGGACUCAGCAGGGGCCUGGGGCCCCAGAAGAGAUAUUGGAAAGGGGACUUAAAAAAUGAGUAGAGUGGAGCCAGAUGAAAGGGGUGCCAGGAUGCAGCCAUAAAAAGAAUAAAAUCACGUCCUUUUCAGCAACAUGGAUGCAGCUGGAGGCCAUUAUCCUAAGUGAAUUAACACAGAAACAGAAAACCAAAUACUGCAUGUUCUCACUUAUAAGUGGGAGCUACACUUGGGGUGCACACAGACACCAAGAGAACCAUAAACCCG
rnacentral:lncRNA from 1 species